rnacentral:lncRNA from 1 species
GCAGCAUCACCGUGGUCUCCCCACAACCUGUGCCCCCGUGUCUUCCCACGGCAACCCGACGAGUUCAAACACGGCUGUAGUUUGGGUAUCCGUAAAAGAAGUCCGCUAGACAGCUCGAGUUCCUGCCUCCUGGCGGGCGAAUAACUGAACCGCAGUGCUGCAAACGGUUAAACCGACAACCGUUAGCAGUGACUAGGGUAGUCAGCUUCCUUGGAACCGAAAAGGGCUCGGCCCCGGUGCAGCCAGUGCAGCCGCAGUAGGAGGUCCUCGUGCUGUCCUCGACAGACUCGCUAAGGAGGCAACACAUCCCUGGAGGCCGUGGACUGCCUGCCGCAUUCAUCGCAAGCACGCUGGGCUUUCGGCAAUGUUAGACCAGGAAGAUGGCCAUGGCGAACAUACAUACAUCGGCAGUGGGCCGCUGCUGCAGCGCGGCUUGCCGUCGUCACCUAUGAAUGAAUGUUGCAAAGCGAAGUGGUGCAUAUUGCUGGCUGCUGUUUGCUGUACCACGGCGACCAGGAGAAGCGGUGCGAGGCCGCGAGCGGCGGAGGAUGUCAAAGCCAUGGCCCGCGGGAAGCUGUAUCUUCACGCACAAAGUAUGUGAAUUAACUCCUUCAGUAAAUCGAUAGAAAUUUUUAGUAGCUUUAAAUGCAAUUCUCAGUUCAGCGUGGCAUGCGAGUUCACCAUGAGACACGACGCUAACUGACUGUCUGACUGACUGGCUGACUGACAGCAGUGAACCCCGGUGGUUUGACCGCCCAAAAAGCAGACUCUCGCACCACAACACCAGAUGGGUUAUUAUUUACAGCCUGAAAAUGGCUGUAAUUACUCCAGACGG